AGAUUUAUUGUGAUGUAUGGAAAUUAGUGCUGGUGGAAUAUAUACAUGCUUUGGAAGAUAAUGCUAAUUGGUUUUUUCUUUAACAGGAAUUCAUAAUGCUUGUCUGCAGGGUUCUAUUGCAAUUACUACUGAUGGGUAAUGAAACCAACUUGAAGAAGAGCUGUCAAAAUGUGACAUCUUUGCUUCCUUUGUUUCAUCACUAGCUACAUCUGAAAGUAACAUGAGUUCUACAUUUUUGUGGAGAGCAGUGAGUGUCUGAGUACUGCUGUAUUUCAGGACCCCCUCUAACCUCCGUGAUGAGGGACUGAAUAAAGUACUAGAGCUUAGGGGUGGACAGUGAGGAAAGGCAGACUUGAAGUGUGUGUAGCCUGAAGUCCAAAAGCCACUAAACAAGGACAGCAGAGAGAAGAGCUGCCAGCUGGGAGCUCCACAAAGCAUCCCAGCUGCCCCAGGGAAAGUGGCCUCAUUAACCUCCACUGAUGCUACAGCCAGGUAUGAACUAUAGGCAAGAAAACACCCCCCGGGAGGGGUGGGGGUGUGUGUGUGGA